GACGAACGCUGGCGGCGUGCUUAACACAUGCAAGUCGAACGGAAAGGCCCUGCUUUUUUGGUGUUCUCGAGUGGCGAACGGGUGAGUAACACGUGAGUAACCUGCCCUUGACUUUGGGAUAACUUCAGGAAACUGGGGCUAAUACCGUAUAGGAUCUCCUGCUGCAUGGUGGGGGUUGGAUAGUUUCGGCGGUUGGGGAUGGACUCGCGGCUUAUCAGCUUGUUGGUGGGGUAGUGGCUUACCGAGGCUUUGACGGGUAGCCGGCCUGGGAGGGUGACCGGGCACAAUGGGACUGAGGGACGGACCAGAGUGCAACGGGAGGCAGCAGUGGGGAAUAUUGCACAAUGGGCGGAAGCGGGAUAAAGAAACGCCGCGGGCGGGAUGACGGCCUUCGGGUUGUAAACAGCAUUAGCCUGAGACGAAGCGGGAGUGACGGUAAUGGGUAAAGAAGCACCGGCUAACUACGUG
rnacentral:rRNA from 1 species